rnacentral:rRNA from 1 species
UUUUUGGGUGGCGAGUGGCGGACGGGUGAGUAAUGUCUGGGGAUCUGCCCGGUAGAGGGGGAUAACCACUGGAAACGGUGGCUAAUACCGCAUAACGUCGCAAGACCAAAGAGGGGGACCUUCGGGCCUCUCACUAUCGGAUGAACCCAGAUGGGAUUAGCUAGUAGGUGGGGUAACGGCUCACCUAGGCGACGAUCCCUAGCUGGUCUGAGAGGAUGACCAGCCACACUGGAACUGAGACACGGUCCAGACUCCUACGGGAGGCAGCAGUGGGGAAUAUUGCACAAUGGGCGCAAGCCUGAUGCAGCCAUGCCGCGUGUAUGAAGAAGGCCUUCGGGUUGUAAAGUACUUUCAGCGGGGAGGAAGGGAUGAAGCUUAAUACGCUUCGUCAUUGACGUUACCCGCAGAAGAAGCACCGGCUAACUCCGUGCCAGCAGCCGCGGUAAUACGGAGGGUGCAAGCGUUAAUCGGAAUUACUGGGCGUAAAGCGCACGCAGGCGGUCUGUCAAGUCGGAUGUGAAAUCCCCGGGCUUAACCUGGGAACUGCAUUCGAAACUGGCAGGCUAGAGUCUUGUAGAGGGGGGUAGAAUUCCAGGUGUAGCGGUGAAAUGCGUAGAGAUCUGGAGGAAUACCGGUGGCGAAGGCGGCCCCCUGGACAAAGACUGACGCUCAGGUGCGAAAGCGUGGGGAGCAAACAGGAUU